rnacentral:lncRNA from 1 species
UGAACUCAAGAAAUGAGAAGAUUGUAGAACUUAAGGAAAACAAAAACCCUUAACUAUAGAACCCUUAACAAGAAGAACAAUAGGAAGAGACAUCUCAACCCUUCCCCAAUAGAAGAAGGAGCCCAAGACCGAAUAGAAAUCUAAAGGCUAACCCUUUGUAUUAGUCACAAAUGCAAGAUCCUCAACAACAAGCUAAUCC